UUUUUUUUCUUUUUGCCUGAAGUAGAGGGGUGGAUUUAAGUAAAAGCGCACCGUUGGAUAUUGGAGGGACUUAGGUAGGGUGAAAAUAGCACUGUGACAUCUGCAUGCUAAGACGGAUGCUGCAGGGUGAGCAGGCAAGGCAGGCGAAUUAACCCAGAUGAAAAUCAUGAUUGUCACAACCAAAGGCAUGCUGAAGAAGAUGGUCAGAUUCAAGACAUUUAUUGAAGAUAUCCACUAGGAUCACUGAUGAUCGGAUGUGGGGCAGGGAAACUCAUGAGUGAACCCCUGGCCUUCCGGCUUGAGCAACUGGGUGUCUGGUCAUUAGAACCGAUGCUGAGAAUGGCAAUGGCAAGAGUGAGUUGGAGCAGAACUGCAGCAUUCCAUUUUAAAAGAGUAUGUCUCCGAAGCUCGUGAGAAAUCCAAUGGAAAUAGCACACAGACAGUUGGAAAAGUAAGACUAAAGCCCAAAAGAAGGUUCUGGUUUAGAGAGCUAUUAACAGUCAUUAUAAGAUGGCAUUUAUAUUAUGAAAAUGGACUAGGGCCUAGGAAAAGGAAGAGAGAGAAAGCAGCCCAAUUCUUAGUCUCUAGGAAUCUCAAAACUAGAUUGAGUGAAAGGGCUCCUCCAAUGAGGAGAAAGGAAAGGCAGCCCAGAAAGGAAAGAGCGACCGGGAGGGGGCGCUAAGAGAAUGGAGACAGCUGCUCCCUGGAGGGGUAUCCCUGAAGAACCAAGGAACAAAAAGGUCAGUUUUACCUCAAUCAGUCUGUUAAGUAUUUUAAGCCUUUUGAAGGCACCAGGAGAUUGAAUGCUGAAUUUUGAGGUCAGGACUGGGCCUUUGAUGGCAUGGCAAUAAAAGGAAUAUAUUUAAAUGCCGUAUAGGGAUUCCUGAGUGUCUGCAGAGCAUCUCUUCCCCACAGGCAGGGGCUCUCUGAGCCAGGAAGCCGCUAAUGAUCCCACUUCCAUGUGCCUCAAUACAUUCGCAGUCCCCUUAGUUCCAAACCCCAGGGGCACUUCAUGGGCAUGGGUCCAUUGCAGGAAUCUGUGGACUCCUCUAAAAGAAUGUAGAUUCCUUGAGGGGAUAAACAACGCCUUACUCAACUUCUCUUUCUGUGCAUCACCCAAUACAGUUUCCAGCUCAGAGUAAGCUCUCAAUUCGUGUGUUUCAGUUGUGGUCAUAGAGAGUUAAAAAAAAAACAAAAACAAAAACAAGCAAACAUGUUUCUGAUAACUUCUUACCAUGAUCGGUAUAUUAUAAAAGAUGGGAGAACCUAGCUCAAAAAUUAGUAAGCUCACAAUUGAAUUAAUCUAUAAACACAUUCCUUUUCUAAUUUAAGAGAAGAUGCUCCCACCGGCUAAAAAAUAAAAAUAAAAGGUGUUAGUUACACAAGGGACAGGGCUAUCUGAUAAUAUAUUGGUGGUUGGAUAGGAGGAAAUCUCAAAGCUAAGCUCUGUACUUCUUCCAAAUUGAAAGAGCAUUAAGCAGCAUAGGUCAGAAAGCAGAACCCUUAGUGUUUGCAGAAAAUGUACUUUAAAAUAAUUUUCUCUGGGGCUCUAAAUGGUAAUGCUUGCUCGUGACACAAAAAUCUGGAAAUUGGGAGAGGGCUGUCUCUAGAUAAUGCUACUUUUGUGUCUCCUUACAGAGUAACUAACCAGAGCCUUUCAUUCUGAGCAUAUCACCCAGUUUUAUCCUCUUAAAAGUAUCAAAGUCGUCUUGGGAUUUAUAGGAUGGGUUUAUGCAAAAUAAAUGAGGCUGGAGGUAAGAGGGAGAUUUAGAGAGACGUCUGGAAAGGACUAAGAAAAGGUGAACAGGCAAGUGAGACAAGCCUAUCUUAACAGUCUCCAAUAAAGUAGGAUUCAACAUCCUGUCCAACUAGAAAGGAAAGUCAGGGGCACCUGAGAAAUGACCAAGAGGUGACCUCAGUUACUGACUGUAGAUCUCAUACCUCAUGGUGUUUUCUGAGCAUAGUCACAUGCAUCCCUUAACCCAUCACUUUUCAAAGACCCAUAACUGGAGUCCUCACUUUCUCCAGCCAGAACAAGACAACCUUCCUUUACUGUGGUUCCCCCAGGUCCUAACAGUGGAGGCUCCAGAUGGCGCUUUGGGCUCCCUCUUGUGCUGGGAACUAGCUGCACCUGUUCUUCCAAAUGCUCCGUGAAACUCUGAGGGUCAUCUCACCUCUUCUUCUGCAAAGAAACCACAGAAUCUGUAGAAAAUACUUGGAAUAUUAGAGUCCAGAACCUUCUUCCCAGAAUCCAUAGGAAUCCUUUCCAAUUAACUCAUUUGACAAAGGAGAAAAAUGGGUCAGGGAUAACCUGGGAAUUGGAACAGAUCAUACAGCUAGUUAGUUGCAGAACCAAGACAACUGCUAACCCAGCAUGAUGUUGUGGAUUAAGUUUCUCACCUUUUGUCUCAAUUUGCAUCUCUGUAAGUAGGGAAUUAUGAUCACCUUGAUGGGUAGUGGGGGACAAAAUCAAGCAUGUGUGCAAAAUACCUUGCGAGGUGAUCAGCAUGAUUGGCGUAUGCCCUUCCCCAUGUCUAAAGAAUUAUUCUCUCCUCUUUAGCCCUUUCUUGCUACUCACGACAUGAUGCUUAACCUACUGCUAUCACAAAACAACAGAUGAAAGAAAACCCAAACCUUUUUACGGCCGUACCCACGGUAUAUGGAAGUUCCUGCAUCAGGGAUUGAAUCCGAGCCGCAGCUGCGACCCGCACCAGAUCCUUAAACCCACUGGUCUGGGUUGGGGAUCAAACCCUUGCCUCCACAGAGACCUGAGGCACUGCAGUCAGAUUUUGAACCCACUGUGCCACAGUGGGAACUCCCCCUUUUCCACUUUUAAGGACACCUAGGGGAGGGAAUUUUCAAACACUCCGCUUCAUAUUUAAAAUGCAGCAUGUUUCCCUGUGUUCUAUCCACAUGGUGUUAAAUAGCUUCGAAGCUCUUUAUGUUGCUUCUUAAAUAUUGCUGUAAAAUCUACCGUUCCCUGAACCUUCUCCCAUAGCUGUGAUAUCCCCAGCUUUGUUAGGAGGCUCUGAGUAAGAGCUCAUGGCUCUCAGGCUCUCAAAAGUACCCUCAUUACAAUCCAUUUGCCAUAAACAAAGAGAGGAGAUUGUUUUACUCCAGAUGAGAACUGAAUUCGCUUCUUUCUGCAAUUCUCCAGGGUCCAGGGUGAAAUGAAUUUCAAGGAUGCUCAGUAGCCAUAUGCACCCACUAGUUGUUUGAUAUUUCUAUGUGGCCAGUUGGAACAGCAGAAAAAUGAGAAAUGUGUUUUAUGACUAUAAUUUUUCCGAGAAAAAAUGAAGAAAAGAGAUGCAGGGCUGGGAAAAAUAUAGAUCUUGGAAUCCAUACACGGGACAGAGAAUGGAGUUUUAUCUCUUUGCCGGAUUAUUUCUCUCCUAUCUUGAAUAUAUCGUUCUCCAAAUCUCAGCAUCUCAUUGGCUUCCCUCGAAAUGCUGCUUACCACUUUUCACUCUUUUCUUAUUCCUGAAAAAUAUAAAAGCUAAUUAAUAGGGUAACGAAUAAAAUACAAAUACGGAGUUCCCAUCGUGGCUCAGUGAACCCUGCUAGCAUUCAUGAGAACGUGGGUUCGAUCCCUGGCCUUGCUCAGUGGGUUGAGGAUCUGGCAUCACAGUGAGCUGUGGUGUGGGUUACAAACAUGGCUCAGAUCCCACAUUGCUGUGGCUGUGGUGUAGGCCAGCAGCCAAAGCUCUGAUUGGACACCUAGCCUUGGAACCUCCAUAUGCUAUGGAUGCAGCCCUAAGAAG
rnacentral:lncRNA from 1 species